GUCGUUGUUGUCAGAUAAUAAUAUCUUCAAAGUUGUAAUAGUAUUUAAUAUCACAGAGAUUUACAAGAAAUAUCAGUGCUGUGAAGAAAAAUCUGACAAAGAAGCGUUUUUUCAUUUGUUGUUCAUUUGAGAGAUGGAUUUACUUGAGAUUAUUGAGGGGGAGGGGGUAUUUUGGGUUAAUUCUGAGGUAAUUAUCCAACAACAAAAAAAUUGCGCCUUUAUGACCAUAUAGGCAACUUUGUUUUGACAUCAAUGAC